rnacentral:rRNA from 1 species
GUGAGGAAUAUUGGUCAAUGGGCGAGAGCCUGAACCAGCCAAGUCGCGUGAAGGAAGAAGGAUCUAUGGUUCGUAAACUUCUUUUGCAGGGGAAUAAAGUGCAGGACGUGUCCUGUUUUGUAUGUACCCUGAGAAUAAGGAUCGGCUAACUCCGUGCAAGCAGCCGCGGUAAUACGGAGGAUCCGUGCGUUAUCCGGAUUUAUUGGGUUUAAAGGGUGCGUAGGUGGUUUGAUAAGUCAGCGGUGAAAGUUUGCAGCUUAACUGUAAAAAUGCGGUGGAAACUGUCGGACUUGAGUGUAAAUGAGGUAGGCGGAAUGCGUGGUGUAGCAGUGAAAUGCAUAGAUAUCACGCAGAACUCCGAUUGCGAAGGCAGCUUACUAAGCUACAACUGACACUGAAGCACGAAAGAGUAGGGAUCAAACAGGAUUAAAAACCCCAGUAGUCC